rnacentral:rRNA from 1 species
GUGGGGAAUCUUAGACAAUGGGGGCAACCCUGAUCCAGCGACGCCGCGUGAGUGAUGAAGGCCUUCGGGUCGUAAAGCUCUGUUGCAGGGGAAGAACACAAUGACGGUACCCUGCUAGAAAGGAUCGGCUAACUUCGUGCCAGCAGCCGCGGUAAGACGAGGGAUCCUAGCGUUGUUCGGAAUUAUUGGGCGUAAAGCGGGUGCGGGUGGCUUGGUAAGUCAGAUGUGAAAGCCUGGGGCUUAACCCCAGAAGUGCAUUUGAUACUGCUGAGCUUGAGUGCUGGAGAGGAGAUUAGAAGUCCUGGUGUAGUGGAGAAAUACGUAGAUAUCAGGAGGAAUACCGGAGGCGAAGGCGGAUAGCUGGCCAGACACUGACACUCAGACCCGAAAGCGUGGGGAUCAAACAGGAUUAGAUACCCGAGUAGUCC